GAUGAAGAACUUAGCGAAAUGCGAUAAGUAAUGCGAAUUGCAGAAUUUCCGUGAGUCAUCGAAUCUUUGAACGCACAUUGCGCCCGCCAGUAUUCUGGCGGGCAUGCCUGUUCGAGCGUCAUUUCAACCCUCAAGCCCCCGGGCUUGGUGUUGGGGAUCGGCGUGCCCUCGCGGCGCGCCGUCCCCUAAAUCUAGUGGCGGUCUCGCUGUAGCUUCCUCUGCGUAGUAGCAACACUCGCACUGGAUCGCAGCGCGGCCACGCCGUUAAACCCCCCACUUCUGAAAGUUUGACCUCGGAUCAGGUAGGAAUACCCGCUGAACUUAAGCAUAUCAAUAAGCGGAGGA
rnacentral:misc_RNA from 1 species